ensembl:lncRNA
GGAAGGAUGAUCCAUAAGCCCACAAUCAUUGGGAAGGGUUUACUUCAUGGGUGCCAGAUGUGGAUGAAAGUUCUGAAUAAUGGAGGAGCUAUUGGAGAGAGAGUCAACACGAGUGGAGAUACCAUAGUAUGAAGCCUUUGGGAAAUUCAUGGGGCUGGAAGAGAAAGAUGGGGCCCUGAGGUGUUUGUGCCUCGGUUAUGGUGAUACUUGGAUGGCCAGGACUAAAGAAAGGUCCCUUGUUAGAAAAGGCAAGUCAGGAGUUCAGGUCUCUUUGUGGGGUUCAAAUGAUGACAUUCUUUUCUUCCAAGAACAAUCUUCUGCAACCAAGGGCACAUUUCACAUUUUGUGCAUUGCAUCUGAAACUAUAAAUUCCAUAGGCGUUGCGUGGAGCACGGAGACCACUAGAAUCACCAGGAUUCCCUCAACAGCUCUGUGCAGGAGGUGUUAUUGUCACCACUUAGCAGAUGUAUUUGGCUGCAUCGGAUCUUUGUUGCAUCAUGAGGGGUCUUUCGUUGCACGGUGCUGGCUCAGCAAUUGUGGCGCCUGGGUUAGUUGCUUCACAGCAUGUGGGAUCUUAGCUCCCCAAUCAGGGAUUGAACCUGUGUCCUGUGCAGUGCAAGGCGGAUUCUUAACCACUGGACCACAGGGAAGCUUCCUGACCAAGUACUCUUGGUAGCUGCAUUUUGCUAUUAUAACCAGAAGCUGGUUUUCCCUGCUACGCUUUUAAACUUGCACUCCCACCUGACGCCUUUCUCUGUCCCAUCUGCUUACUUAAAUUUCCUUGAUAGUCUUUAUCAACACUGGGCAUGCUUUCUUCUCUUAUUUAUUUAUGAUCUUCAUUCAUUAGAAAUUAUGCUCACCAGGGUAUUCAUUGUGUAUUUUCCUCCUGCUCUAUUCUCAGAGCCGAGAAUUGUACCUGACACAGAGUAGGUUCUCAGUAGAUAUCAAUUGGGAGAAGGAAAUGGCAACCCACUCCAGUGUUCUUGCCUGGAGAAUCCCAGGGACAGAGGAGUCUGGUGGGCUGCCAUCUAUGGCGUCGCACAGAGUCGGACACGACCGAAGCGACUUAGCAGCAGCAGCAGAUAUCAGUUAAUAGCAAAUGUUAAUGGAUGAGUGAAUGAAUGGAUGAAGAGACAUUAGCACAGAAGCAGUGAGAUAUGGGGCAGACAGGGUGGUCCACGUGUCUCACUGCCUGGAUGCUAGAAGCACAGAUGACUCAGACCAGGGGAGAAUGCGAAGGUCUCAUCAGGUGGAGGUUGAAUUCGAUGAUCAUCUCUAGACCAGUAAUUUUAUGAAACUUCAGGAAGGUGGAGGGAAUGGACGGAAAUCGCUUUCUGAAGAUCUGAUAUAAGGUAUGGCUCUGAGCUGUUGCCACAAACUGGACAAAAUGAAGUCUACAAUGAAACAAAGGUUUUGCAUUGUGGAGGAGCUUGCCAUCAGGGUGGAAAAGGAGCUUUCUUAGUUUGAGUGGUCUUUGGUGCCAGG